rnacentral:rRNA from 1 species
GUACGUAGGGGGCAAGCGUUGUCCGGAUUUAUUGGGCGUAAAGAGCUCGUAGGUGGUUUGGUAAGUCGGAUGUGAAAUCUCCGAGGCUCAACCUGGAGGGGUCAUUCGAUACUGCCAUGACUAGAGGUCGGUAGGGGAGUGUGGAAGUUCCUGGUGGAGCGGUGAAAUGCGCAGAUAUCAGGAGGAACACCCGUAGCGAAGGCGGCACUCUGGGCCGAUACUGACACUGAGGAGCGAAAGCGUGGGGAGCGAACAGG